AGGCCUCCACUUUACAAGCAGCUGCCCAGGCCAUUUGGAAUGCCUGUAUGGAAUCACCAUAAACACAAUUUCUUGGGUUGAUAUAAUGAAUGAUGAAGUUCAGUUUUACCUUGGUAUCAUCUGUGUUUCCGUCGCCCUUGGCUCCGUAACUCACCACAUUGAAAACGCGACCUGCAUUGCCAGAACCUAUGCUCGGUGGGGAGACCGGAGCUGGGGGUGAUGAUGGUUUGGGAGAGGGAUGCUUCUGCUUGAUCUUACCGGCAUUGCCGUGUUGGCGAUGAUACUUUGGUUUCUUCUUGUACAGAGCUCCCCUGCUUUGCCUCCAAUGCUUUCCCUGUCUUGCAUGGCAGGUUUCCAUGUUGGAUGACCAGACCAGAAUUGCAAUGGCCAGAAUUAAUAAUAAUGUGAGACCUUUCAUAAUCAUCUUCUUGUCAUGUAUGCAGAUGUUGCAGAGAGAGUGUAGUGGAGGAGAAGAGUGUUAUGUUGUGUGUUUUUGGGUAGGAUGAGAGGAGAUGCUGAUGUUAUGUCUAUAUAGGAAGGGAUACAUUUUUGGUCUAACUAUUUAGGCCUAAAAACAAAAAGAUGUCCUCAUAAUUAUUGGCAUAUUGUUUUAUUCUUGGUC